rnacentral:lncRNA from 1 species
CACAGUUGUAAACAUAUCAACUUAUGUAAGUGAUUAAUUCUUGUAUUAUUUUUCUAGAAUAUUUUUUUUAUAACGUUACUUAUUUUGUUGUUUAUUUUUUAUAAAGUAAUGUAUUUUUUUGUUUCUUUUUUAGGAUGUUUCUAGGUUUCGAACUCGUGUCCACGAAUUUGCACACAUGGACGCGAUGAUUCAACCUUAUAUUGAACUCGCCGGUUUUGG